rnacentral:lncRNA from 1 species
GCUGUGACUGAGGAUUACAAGGAAAGCAAGAAGGCCAGUGCAAACUUCUUGGGAUCUAGAAGCUUUCACUCUGUUGAUAAACCUGAAAUAAAGAGUGGAAACAGAUCUCUUAAGUAUUAUUUUGAAGACAAGGAACCUAAACAACAACAACAACAACUUGUUACACAUAACCCAAAGUCUAGAGCCUUACCAAAGAGUCCUAUCCGCUUUGAGAUUGUUGACGAUAGGUACAGAGACGAUGGAAGUGUUAAGAGAUACGAUGCACGUAGAGAGACCAGAGGAAGCUCCAAAUCACUAGACCUCUCUAACAACAAGGAAACUUCCGGUUUGCCCAUUGUACGCCAUGCAAGUGAACUCAUAGGAGAGAAUCAUCCUCGUUUGCGCGUAGAAAAAAUUGUCAAAGUUGAGAAAAAGAAGGAUCCAGUGAACAAUCAGGUAAAGUGUACUAAUCUACAAACUCAUGUUGUGUAUACAGUGAAGAUGUGAACCUUUUCUUUUAUGUUUUGUAGUUGGCUGCAUCAUCUAGUAAAAUGGAGAGUCCUGGAAGUUUAAUUGAUGAUGUACCUUCUCAAAAGGCCAUUGAGGGUCCAGCUCCUAACUCUUUGGAAGCUUUGUUGUUUGGAUACUCUGAUCCUUCUGAGGACAAUCAGCCUUCAGCUAACCUUGAGACCCAGGAGGUGCCAAGAACACAGGACAGUGUUACCUCUGUUGUCACAGCACCUACAAUCUCGCACGCCGGUUCUUUAGAGCUAGCUCUUCUACCUGAUGCUGCUGAUAACUUAAAUACAAAAGAUAUGGUUACAACAAGUGCAGCUGAAAAUAACCAGGUUGGUGUCUGAGAUAGUUUUUAAACACUCAUUUACAAAGAACCAAAAGUAAAAGAUUAUUAUGCUAAAUGUUUUGUUCAUGUGCUAACACAGGUGGAGUCAUCUACACUACCUAAGGAACCAUCAGAUACCUCUAUGGAACAAUCAACACUAGCUAUCACAAAUUAUGCUUAUGGAGAUCAUCAAGAAGAGACAAAAUCUAGUGUAAGAAGUGCACUUCCUGAGGUAACAAGCACUUUUCUUUUAGUUUAUAUUGGAUUUACUCUUUUGGUGUCUACAGUCAUAAGAGUCUUAACCAUUGGCAGGACCUUUUCUCUGGAGGCUUCUCAUUUGCCUCUCCGCAAGUUCAUGCUCAACAUCAUGGCAUGGGAUAUGGCAUGCAAUAUUAUCAAUAUCCUAUGGUAUUUUAUUUGGCAUAAUUGAUAAAUUUGGAUCCGAUUAAUAGAUUUUGAGCUGAUCUUACAUGUGAUAUCCUUUUCUUGGUAGGCUACUGGAGCCUUUCCAUACACGGCAAAACCAUCAUCAAAUCCCUUUGAUGUCAGUUAUGAUGAUACAUGUCCAAACCAAACACCACAAGUAUGAAACCUACUUCAUUAACAUCAUCACAACAUUGAUGUCUCACCGAAUGUACACCCGAUAACAUGAAGGCCAUGCAGAAGGUACCAUGAUGGUUUAAUGCAUGGUUCUGGUAAAUUGUUUCGUUUAUUGUGUAUCUCACACACUUGUUUGUUUUAUUUGAACAUCAGGUUAUGCAGAAGAGAUCUAGGCAUGGAAUCAGCUCAGGAUUUGUUUCUAGAAGAUCGUCAUCCGUUGAAGCCUUGCCCAUAUCUGCUUGCUACAAGAAGCAAAGCACGCCCCCAUUUGCACUGCAUUUUACUUCACGACCACCUACACUGUUCCUCAAUUUACACCUGGAAAUGGUGAGAGAGUUGGGUCAAGAUUCAGCCGAAUGCCUAGGAACUGAACGUAAUUUAGUAACAGAUGGAGGUUGUGAUCUGGCAGAUAGCGGACCAACUACCACUUCUUCCAGAGGGCAGGAAGCGCAAGAGUCAGGAGACCUUCAUGACACUCAAAGGCAGCAUCUAGGGUUUAAUUCUGAAAACGGGAUGUCAUGCAGCUCUUCUGUUGUCAGACAUAAGCACGAAACCAGGUCUAACGUUGCGAUGAAUGGCAUUAAUAUUCAAGUUCCAGUAUCUGAUCAUUCUGAAGAUGGUGCUCUGCAGUCACGUAAUCUUGCUUCGAAUAUUCAAGGUAGCACCUCAAGUCCCAAGGCCACUGCCCCAAGAAGUAUGUGGCAACGAAGCAAAAGUUCUUUAAAUGGCCAUCUCUCACAUGGUUGGUCGGAUUCAAAGGGAGAGUUUCUGCACACUAAUUUGGGAAGUGGACCUAAGAAGCGACGUACCCAGGUGUCAUAUUCAUUACCUUCUGGGGGUUCAGAUUCAAGAAACAAAGGUUCCCUGCACAAGGGGCUUCCAAACAAAAGAAUUAGAAGGUCUGCUGCUGAUGUUUCCGUACGUCGUCAGAAAGAUUUGGAGUCUAGUUUCUGUGAUGCCAAUGUGUUAGUCACUCUUGGAGACAGAGGGUGGAGAGAAUAUGGAGCUCAGAUUUUCCUGGAGCCGUUUGAUAAAAACGAAUGGAAACUUGCCGUGAAAAUAUCAGGGGCAACAAAAUACUCACACAGGGCACAUCAAUUUCUGCAGCCUGGGUCGACAAACAGGUUUACACAUGCUAUGAUGUGGAAAGGAGGAAAAGAUUGGACCCUAGAAUUCCCUGAUAGGGGCCAGUGGUUUCUUUUCAAAGAGAUGCAUGAAGAGUGCUACAAUAGAAAUACCAGGGCUGCUUUAGUUAGAAAUAUUCCUAUUCCUGGAAUCCGUAUGAUAGAAGCAGAUAGUUCUGAUGGAACAGAAGCUGAGUUUAUCCGCAGUUGUUCUAAAUAUUACAGGCAGACUGAAACUGAUGUUGAGAUGGCAUUGGAUCCUUCACGUGUUUUGUAUGACAUGGACAGCGAUGAUGAGCAGUGCCUUGCGAGAAUUCGUGAGUGUUCGGAUGCUGAGAAUAGUGCUUCUUGUGAGAUGAGUGAGGACAUGUUUGAGAAGGCGAUGGACAUGUUAGAGAAGGCUUCAUAUGUAAAGCAGCGUGAUCACUUUACCUCAAUCGAAAUUCAAGAACUGAUGGCCGGUGUUGGAUCCUUGGAAGCAAUGGAAACAACAAUAUAUGAACACUGGAGAACAAAGAGGCAGAGGAAGGGAAUGCCACUAAUCAGGCAUCUUCAGGUAUGAUCUCUAAUGCCUUUCCAUCUUUUUUUCUUGUCAAAACCUGCAUUGCUAGGUGCUAUAUAGAUAUUUAUGUACUUGGGUGAAACGCAGAUUUUUGGACAGUAGGGCUAGUUGUUUUAUAUACUACGUAGUUUGUAGAUUACUCUCAAUUGUUGGCUCAACAAUGAUGUAGUUAUUCUGCUGUAAUAUGUUUCUGCAAGAACACUUGCGCCUUAUAUAAACACUUGUUUUUGUACAUCUUCAUUUCAGCCACCUCUGUGGGAAAAGUAUCAACGAGAGGUUAAAAAGUGGGAGUUGGUUAUGAGCAAAGCAAACACUCCAAACUCGAAUGGGUCGUCACAGAUGAAAGAAUCACCUGGUGAGAAGCCAGCGAUGUUUGCUUUCUGUUUUAAGCCUCGAGGUUUGGAAGUCAAGCACAGGGGAACAAAACACCGGUCACAUCAGAAGAAGCUAUCGGUUUAUGCUCAUCAACAUAGUACUGCUCUGGGAAAUUAUGAUGCUUAUAAUUCAUCUGGUAACCCUCUUUUACCUGCUUUGUUUUCUAAAAUCCUCUAUGGACUCUGCUGGUUCUUCUCUAUAUGAGUUGUCUUUCAUUUAUUUAGCAGGAAGAAGAUGCGUUGGUCUCGCCUCUGGAGAUGAGAGGUUUGUAUAUUCAAACCACCACCACUACGAGCAUUCGGAGGAUUUUCCGAGUCAUCCAGGGACGUAUUCUCCACGUGACCUAGGCAUGGGAUAUUUCUCGAGCGGUGGGAAUGGAUGUCACCAAAACAAGUCUCAGAGAAUCAACGGGAAGAGGAACAUGAGUGAACGAUGGAAUGCAAGAGGCUAUUAUGAAUCCCCCGGUUCCAGUCUUGUUUGUCUUGAUGCGGAAGAGUUACAUAGUAGUAGUAGUAGGGAUACUGAUGAGUACAAACUGCGAGAAGCAGCUGGUGCUGCAAGGAGGGCGUGGGCUAUAGCCAAGGUCAAGCGAGAAAGAGCAGAGAGAUUGAGGUACAAAGCAGAUCUAGCCAUCCAGAAAGCUGCAGCUGCUCUCAUGUUUGCAGACGGUAGCAUGGGGAGACGGCACUGCAACGUAAAUAAAUCAUUUUAAAAAAAUAAAUUUAAAUUCUGCAACUGUUGCUGUGUUUAGUUUUUUUGAUCAGCUAGGGAACAAGGUUUGAAUUGAAUAUCAUGUUGCUAUUGUAGCGUAUAAUUACAAUAUCUUGUGUUAUUAGAAAGAUCAAAAUCAGAAUUUAAGUAAAAUGGUCUUGAAGCAUACGUUUUUAUUCAUGGCAUAUGUUAAACCGAUAGUUGUUAAUAAAAUAAGAAGGGUGUUUUCUCUUGAUAUGUUGUUAUGGGACACUAAUAAUUUUAUUUCUUAUUCCAAUCUAAAAUAAGACUGUGUAGAUCAUUUGUGUCUGUUUGGUAAAUCAAAUGAACAAAACAAAACAAACAUUACUUGCGUUUUAAGGCGGAUCUACCCUAAUGGUUUAAGAGUUAUAUAAGUCGUUUUGGUUAUCUACAUGAAAUGAGAGAGUGAGAAGAGAGACUUCAACGGCGGGAAAGCUUUCAAGACAGCAGUUUUUCAGGAGAAUGUCUCCUUUCUUUUGCUGGCUCCUUCUCUAUUUUUGCCAUCUCUGUAACCUGAGAGAGACAGAGAUCAUCUUCUUGUCACCUCCAUUCUUUUUUCCCUGGCUGUUUCAUCUUUAUUUCUUCUGUAAGGUUUCUCUCUUCUCUUCUUUUUAGGUUUUGCAAUACCUUAUAGCACAAGGAAUUAAAAAACCUCAAGAUUCUCGUCUUUUAUGUGCGUUUGUAUCCAACAGAGGAAACGAUUAGGAAGAAUUUUGAUUCUGUGUAACGUAAUGAGUUUCCGGAAACAACAAUCUUGCAACUUUUUAUCUCAUAUGAAACUUUUUUUUUUUUGGUGAUCUUCUCAUAUGAAACUUUCAAGAUUGAAACAUGCACCAGAGAAUAACGUUAAAAUUCUUUUGGCUUAAGAUGGUGUUUUUUUUGUUCCUCUGUUCUUUCUCAGGUGAUUUGGUAAUGAUGGCAUUGCUAUUUGAUAGGAUUUCUCAUUUGAGAUAAUUGAUUUUCUUGAUAAGAGUGGGAAAGUUUUUUGCCAACAAUGGGGAGCAAGAUGAAGGAAGACGAGCGAACUGAAAAGGCUAUCAGGAGUUUGCUGAAGCUUCCCGAGAAUCGAAGAUGCAUCAACUGCAACAGUCUGGUAUGUUGGCCAGGAACCAUCUUUAAUUCUUCUUUUUAAUAGUUUAUAUAAAAACAUGCUUAUCAAGUCAACUAUAAAUGGCUCAAUGUAGCUGGUUUCUUUUAUUAAGUUUUCGGAUAAUCUGAGUCUUGCAGGGUCCACAAUAUGUCUGCUCAACGUUCUGGACUUUUGUCUGCAUCAACUGCAGCGGAAUCCAGUAUGUAUUUUCUCUCGAGGUUCCUCAUUUGAACUUGAAAAGUGUUGUCCCAUAUCAUGUGUGUAAGACCUCUUUUUCUCCUUGUGUAUAUGUCUAGUCGAGAGUUUACACAUCGUGUGAAAUCUAUAUCAAUGGCCAAGUUCACGGCAGAAGAAGUUAGUGCACUUCGUGCAGGAGGAAACGAGGUUUGUGUAAUGUUAGAACAAUUGUUAUCUUUAUAAACUUCCAUAGUGAUAUGUUUUGCUUUGUUUCUUUGCAGCGAGCCAGGCAAAUUUAUUUUAAAGAAUGGGAUACUCAGCGUGAUGCUUACCCUGAUGCCAGGUUCAUGGACAUUUUAUUAAAUCUCAGACCGAUUUAAAACACUAAGAGGAGUAGCAUUACUUUAUAGUUUUUUUUUUUCUGAACCGAACUAUUAUUAACGUUAAAUACUUUAUAGUUAAACCUCAUUUUUUUUCUUUCUUCUUGUUCAGUAACAUUUUCAAGCUCAGAGACUUUAUCAGAAGUGUCUAUGUGGAUAAAAGAUACAGUAGUGAGAGCAAUGACAAGAUCUCACAGCAAAAACCGGUACACUGCUUUUCUUAGAUGCUUCAUUUUCUUUUCUUUUUUUGUCAACUACCCAUACAAUCAUGUCAAGUUGAACCGCCGGGUCUCAUCUACAUGGGAAAAAAUGACUUCUCGGUUCCUAGCCUCCUUUGCUAGGGAAUCUGCAUGAACAUUUUCUCAACUUAGCCAAAUCUAAAGCUAAUUAUGGGACAGUUGUACUAUAUGCUCCAAUGUUGAAGACGUGCCCUAUUUACACAGUUUUCAAUUUUUUUACAAGUUUGUUCUGUUUCCACUCAGGCUGUGACUGAUGAUUACAAGGAAAGCAAGAAGGCCAGUGCAAACUUCUUGGGAUCUAGAAGCUUUCACUCUGUUGAUAAACUUGAAAUAAAGAGUGGAAACAGAUCUCUUAAGUAUUAUUUUGAAGGCAAGGAACCUAAACAACAACAACAACAACUUGUUACACAUAACCCAAAGUCUAGAGCCUUACCAAAGAGUCCUAUCCGCUUUGAGAUUGUUGACGAUAGGUACAGAGACGAUGGAAGUGUUAAGAGAUACGAUGC